rnacentral:rRNA from 1 species
UACCAUGCAGUCGAGCGGAGAUGAGGUGCUUGCACCUUAUCUUAGCGGCGGACGGGUGAGUAAUGCUUAGGAAUCUGCCUAUUAGUGGGGGACAACAUUCCGAAAGGAAUGCUAAUACCGCAUACGUCCUACGGGAGAAAGCAGGGGAUCUUCGGACCUUGCGCUAAUAGAUGAGCCUAAGUCGGAUUAGCUAGUUGGUGGGGUAAAGGCCUACCAAGGCGACGAUCUGUAGCGGGUCUGAGAGGAUGAUCCGCCACACUGGGACUGAGACACGGCCCAGACUCCUACGGGAGGCAGCAGUGGGGAAUAUUGGACAAUGGGGGGAACCCUGAUCCAGCCAUGCCGCGUGUGUGAAGAAGGCCUUAUGGUUGUAAAGCACUUUAAGCGAGGAGGAGGCUACUGGGACUAAUACUCUUGGAUAGUGGACGUUACUCGCAGAAUAAGCACCGGCUAACUCUGUGCCAGCAGCCGCGGUAAUACAGAGGGUGCGAGCGUUAAUCGGAUUUACUGGGCGUAAAGCGUGCGUA